GCUUAAGUAGUUUAAACCAAAACGUUGGUCUUGUAAACCAAAAAUGAAAUCUUUUUUCCUCAAGCA
rnacentral:tRNA from 1 species